rnacentral:other from 16 species
GGGGGUCUGCGUUGUUCGUGUAGGUUGAAAGUGCCUCGAGCCCGAUUUUGUUCUUAUAGGGAGCCGUCACUGGUAACCUCGAGUAGGUUAUUACACGGCGCCCACCUUAGCUUUAGUCUCAGGACACUAAGCAAAGCGUUACGGCAAAUGCGGAUCUCCU